rnacentral:rRNA from 1 species
UACGUAGGGUCCAAGCGUUAUCCGGAAUUACUGGGCGUAAAGCGUCUGUAGGCGGAUUGUUAAGUGCAUCGCGAAAUCCUGUGGCUCAACCAUAUGGACUGUGAUGCAUACUGGCAAUCUAGAGGAUGGCAGAGGCAAGUGGAAUUACCGGUGUAGCAGUGAAAUGCGUAGAUAUCGGUAGGAACACCAAUGGCGAAGGCAGCUUGCUGGGCCAUUUCUGACGCUAAGAGACGAAAGCGUGGGGAGCGAACAGG